CCUACGGGAGGCAGCAGUGGGGAAUAUUGGGCAAUGGGCGCAAGCCUGACCCAGCAACGCCGCGUGAAGGAAGAAGGCUUUCGGGUUGUAAACUUCUUUUGUCAGGGACGAAGCAAGUGACGGUACCUGACGAAUAAGCCACGGCUAACUACGUGCCAGCAGCAGCGGUAAUACGUAGGUGGCAAGCGUUAUCCGGAUUUAUUGGGGGUAAAGGGCGUGUAGGCGGAAAUGCAAGUCAGAUGUGAAAACUAUGGGCCCAACCCAUAGCCUGCAUUUGAAACUGUAUUUCUUGAGUGCUGGAGAGGCAAUCGGAAUUCCGUGUGUAGCGGUGAAAUGCGUAGAUAUACGGAGGAACACCAGUGGCGAAGGCGGAUUGCUGGACAGUAACUGACGCUGAGGCGCGAAAGCGUGGGGAGCAAACAGGAUUAGAUACCCUAGUAGUC
rnacentral:rRNA from 1 species